AUCUAUGGCCAUGCUACCCUGAACAAGCCCAAUCCCUUCUGAUCUUGGAAGCUAAGCAGGGUUGGGCCUGGUUAGUACUUGGAUGGGAGACCACCUAGGAAGACCAGGUGCUGUAGGCA
ensembl:rRNA 5S_rRNA 5S ribosomal RNA